UACGUAGGGCGCAAGCGUUAUCCGGAAUUAUUGGGCGUAAAGAGCUCGUAGGCGGUUUGUCGCGUCUGCCGUGAAAGUCCGGGGCUCGACUCCGGAUCUGCGGUGGGUACGGGCAGACUAGAGUGAUGUAGGGGAGACUGGAAUUCCUGGUGUAGCGGUGAAAUGCGCAGAUAUCAGGAGGAACACCGAUGGCGAAGGCAGGUCUCUGGGCAUUAACUGACGCUGAGGAGCGAAAGCGUGGGGAGCGAACAGG
rnacentral:rRNA from 1 species